rnacentral:rRNA from 1 species
AUGGACGAGUGGGUUCGCCAAGCGGAGGCGUGGGCAGGCCAAGCAGAGCACUGGAUCCGCCAGCAACCCCCGGAGCAGAUUUACGUCGCGGUCGCCGUGAUUGCGGUGACGAUUCUGGUGCUGGUCGCAGCUUCUUGUCUGAAAUCAUCGAAACCGAACACCAUAGUUCUAUCCGGGCUUAGUGGCAGCGGCAAAACUGUUCUUUUCUAUCAGCUUCGCGAUGGGUCAUCACAUCAGGGAACUGUGACUUCGAUGACACAUAACAAUGCUACAUUUGUGCUGCACUCGGAGCUGGAAAGGAAAGGCAAAAUAAAACCUGUUCAUGUUAUCGAUGUUCCUGGUCAUGCAAGGCUGAAAUCGAAGCUUGAUGAAGUCCUGCCUCAGGCAGCUGGGGUUGUUUUUGUCGUCGAUGCUCUAGAUUUCUUGUCUAGCAUGCAAGCUUCUGCAGAGUACUUGUAUGACAUUUUGACGAAGGCAACUGUAGUGAAGAAAAGGAUUCCUGUUCUGAUAUUCUGCAACAAGACAGAUAAAGUUACAGCUCACUCAAAGGAGUUCAUCAAGAAGCAGUUGGAGAAAGAAGUAAACAAGCUCCGGGAAUCAAGGAACGCCAUAUCAUCCGCUGACAUCAGUGAUGAAGUCCAACUUGGGUUACCUGGAGAGGCAUUCAACUUCAGCCAGUGUCAGAACAAGGUGAUAGUUGAUGAAGGUGCUGGUCUGACUGGUGAUGUUUCAGCAGUUGAGCAGUUCAUCCGCGAGUAUGUGAAGCCAUAG